CCUACGGGAGGCAGCAGUGAGGAAUAUUGGUCAAUGGUCGCGAGACUGAACCAGCCAAUUAGCGUGAGGGAUGACUGCACUACGUGUUGUAAACCUCUUUUAUAAGGGAAUAAAGAGAGGCACGCGUGCCUUGUUGUAUGUACUUUAUGAAUAAGGAUCGGCUAACUCCAUGCCAGCAGCCGCGGUAAUACGGAGGAUCCGAGCGUUAUCCGGAUUUAUUGGGUUUAAAGGGCGCGUAGAUGGGUUGUUAAGUCAGUGGUGAAAGUUUGCGGCUCAACCGGAAGAUUGCAAUUGAUACUGGCAGUCUUGAGUACAGUAGAGGUAGGCGGAAUUCGUGGUGUAGCGGUGAAAUGCUUAGAUAUCACGAAGAACUCCGAUUGCGAAGGCAGCUUACUAAC
rnacentral:rRNA from 1 species